rnacentral:rRNA from 1 species
GAUGAACGCUGGCGGCGUGCCUAAUACAUGCAAGUCGAGCGAACAGACGAGGAGCUUGCUCCUCUGACGUUAGCGGCGGACGGGUGAGUAACACGUGGAUAACCUACCUAUAAGACUGGGAUAACUUCGGGAAACCGGAGCUAAUACCGGAUAAUAUAUUGAACCGCAUUGUUCAAUAGUGAAAGACGGUUUUGCUGUCACUUAUAGAUUGAUCCGCGCCGCAUUAGCUAGUUGGUAAGGUAACGGCUUACCAAGGCAACGAUGCGUAGCCGACCUGAGAGGGUGAUCGGCCACACUGGAACUGAGACACGGUCCAGACUCCUACGGGAGGCAGCAGUAGGGAAUCUUCCGCAAUGGGCGAAAGCCUGACGGAGCAACGCCGCGUGAGUGAUGAAGGUCUUCGGAUCGUAAAACUCUGUUAUUAGGGAAGAACAAAUGUGUAAGUAACUAUGCACGUCUUGACGGUACCUAAUCAGAAAGCCACGGCUAACUACGUG